GAUGAACGCUGACAGAAUGCUUAACACAUGCAAGUCUUUGGCGAAGCUGUGCUUGCACAGCCUAGCCAAGGCGGACGGGUGAGUAACGCGUAAGGGACUUGCCCUGCAGUCAGGGAUAACAGACGGAAACGACUGAUAAAACCUGGUAAAGUCAGGCGGACUCAUGUCCAGCCUGAUGAAAAGGAAUGCUGCAGGAGAGCCUUGCGUCCUAUUAGCUUGUUGGUGGGGUAACGGCCCACCAAGGCGAUGAUAGGUAGCCGGCCUGAGAGGGUGGACGGCCACAAGGGGACUGAGAUACGGCCCUUACUCCUACGGGAGGCAGCAGUGGGGAAUAUUGGACAAUGGGGGCAACCCUGAUCCAGCAAUUCUGUGUGCACGAUGAAGGUCUUCGGAUUGUAAAGUGCUUUCAGCAGGGAAGAAAAAAAUGACGGUACCUGCAGAAGAAGCGACGGCUAAAUACGUGCCAGCAGCCGCGGUAAUACGUAUGUCGCGAGCGUUAUCCGGAAUUAUUGGGCAUAAAGGGCAUCUAGGCGGCCGGAUAAGUCUGGGGUGAAAACUUGCGGCUCAACCGCAAGCCUGCCCUGGAAACUAUGCGGCUAGAGUGCUGGAGAGGUGGACGGAACUGCACGAGUAGAGGUGAAAUUCGUAGAUAUGUGCAGGAAUGCCGAUUAUGAAGAUAGUUCACUGGACGGCAACUGACGCUGAAGUGCGAAAGCUAGGGGAGCAAACAGG
rnacentral:rRNA from 1 species